AUUGAACGCUGGCGGCAUGCUUUACAUAUGCAAGUCGAACGGUAACAGGCCGCAAGGUGCUGACGAGUGGCGAACGGGUGAGUAAUGCAUCGGAACGUGCCCAGUCGUGGGGGAUAACGCAGCGAAAGCUGCGCUAAUACCGCAUACGAUCUCUGGAUGAAAGCUGGGGACCGAAAGGCCUCGCGCGAUUGGAGCGGCCGAUGUCAGAUUAGGUAGUUGGUGGGGUAAAGGCCAACCAAGCCAACGAUCUGCAGCUGGUCUGAGCGGACGACCAGCCACACUGGGACUGAGACACGGCCCAGACUCCUACGGGAGGCAGCAGUGGGGAAUUUUGGACAAUGGGCGCAAGCCUGAUCCAGCAAUGCCGCGUGCAGGAAGAAGGCCUUCGGGUUGUAAACUGCUUUUGUACGGAACGAAACGGUCCGGGUUAAUACCCUGGGCUAAUGACGGUACCGUAAGAAUAAGCACCGGCUAACUACGUGCCAGCAGCCGCUGUAA
rnacentral:rRNA from 1 species